UUUCUUUUUUCUUCCUCUUUUCUCCCUCUCCCAUCUCCUUCCUCCAUUUUCAAGCAUAUUACAGUCAAAAAAUCAAAAAAACGGUGGCCUGCUAUUAUCUCUCCUCCCAUUCCCAAAUCACCAUUCAUUUUUGGGCUCCAAACCUGACCCUAACACCAUCCACCUUAAAACCCCUCUCCUCCUGAUCCACGGGUUCGGUCCGUCCGCGCCAGCAAGUCGUCUUUUUUGCCCACCCGUUCGAUCUUUACAUUUUUGAUUUGGUGUUCUUCGACGACUCUGUCACGCCGGAGCGGUCGGAAGAUUUUCAGGCAGAAUCGAUGGGUAAGAUAGAGGUUAGAGGGUUUGAAUUUGCAGAUCUUGAACCCAUUUUGAUUGUGCUUGUGAGUGGAGUAAUUAAUUGCCACUGUUAGGGUUUUUUUCCCUCUUUUGGUAGAUUUCUCCUCUUCAAUUACAGAGCAGAUUUCCAGGCGAGCGUUCGAAGGAUUUUCAGACGGAAGGAAGGAUUUUACAGGGAUAAUAAUAGAUUACUAGUUGAAUAUUCUGGAAAUAAUUAAAUCAUGGGUUUUCGGGGUUUGAUUUGAGGAGCACGAUUGUUCUACAAAGGAAUGAUUUUGAUGUGGGUAUGAAGUGUUGGUGUUGUUAUUUUCUUGCUCUUUGCUACAACUGUUUGGAUUAUUGGUUUUAUGAAUUUUUUUUGGUGGCAGACGGCGGUGAUGGGCGGCGGAUGGUGGUGGAGGAGAAUAUUGGGGAUAGUUGAGGAGAGAGAAAAUAAAUAAAUAAUUACCUAAAUAAAAUAUAGUUACUUAAAAAAAUAAAUGAG
rnacentral:lncRNA from 1 species